GGGGGGGGGGGGGGGGGGCAGGGGGACCUUGUGCAAGGCUCCCCUCUCUGUGGGCAACCUAAUUAAGCCUAAUUAGCCUGCUAAUUAGUGGGAGGGUACUGGGAGGGAGGGCGAUGGGACGUGGAGACAUUGGGGUCCCCCGUGGGUGGCAUCGGUGCCUAUAGGGGACAUCCGACCCCAUAGGCGACAUCGGGGGUCCCUAUAGGUCCCCCAUGACUCCUCCCCAUUUUGGGGCACUGGGAGGCACUGGGAGGCACUGGGGGGCACUGGGAGGUAUUGGGGGGCACUGGGAGGCACUGGGAGGUACUGGGGGGCACUGGGAGGCACUGGGUUGUACUGGGAGGUACUGGGAGGCACUGGGAGGUAUUGGGAGGCACUGGGAGGUACUGGGGGGCACUGGGGGGCACUGGGAGGUACUGGGAGGCACUGGGAGGUACUGGGGGGCACUGGGAGGCACUGGGGGGCACUGGGAGGUACUGGGAGGCACUGGGGGGCACUGGGGGGCACUGGGAGGUACUGGGGGGCACUGGGGGGCACUGGGAGGCACUGGGAGGUAUUGGGAGGCACUGGGAGGCACUGAGAGGCACUGGGAGGUACUGGGAGGUACUGGGGGGCACUGGGAGGUAUUGGGGGGCACUGGGAGUUACUGGUGGGCACUGGGGGGUACUGGGGGGCACUGGAAGGCACUGUGAGGCACUGGGAGGACUGGGAGCACUGGGAGCACUGGGAUCGUAGCAGGACUGGGAGCACUGGGUUAUACUGGG
ensembl:lncRNA